rnacentral:siRNA from 1 species
GAUAAUAGGCGCUCCGACUAUCU